AUUGAACGCUGGCGGCAGGCCUAACACAUGCAAGUCGAACGAGUGGCGGACGGGUGAGUAAUGUCUGGGAAACUGCCUGAUGGAGGGGGAUAACUACUGGAAACGGUAGCUAAUACCGCAUACCAUCGGAUGUUCCCCGAUGGGAUUAGCUAGUAGGUGGGGUAAAGGCUCACCUAGGCUACGAUCCCUAGCUGGUCUGAGAGGAUGCCCAGCCACACUGGAACUGAGACACGGUCCAGACUCCGAAGGUAGGCAGAAGUGGGGAAGAUUGAAAAAUGGGCGCAAGCCUGAUGCAGCCAUGCCGCGUGUAUGAAGAAGGCCUUCGGGUUGUAAAGUACUUUCAGCGGGGAGGCGUUACCCGCAGAAGAAGCACCGGCUAACUCCGUGCCAGCAGCCGCGGUAAUAC
rnacentral:rRNA from 1 species